rnacentral:rRNA from 1 species
AGUGAACGCUGGCGGCAGGCCUAAUACAUGCAAGUCGAACGGCAGCACAGCAGAGCUUGCUCUGUGGGUGGCGAGUGGCGGACGGGUGAGGAAUACGUGGGAAUCUGCCCAGUCGUGGGGGAUAACGUAGGGAAACUUACGCUAAUACCGCAUGCGCCCUUCGGGGGAAAGCCGGGGACCUUCGGGCCUGGCGCGAUUGGAUGAGCCCACGUCGGAUUAGCUAGUUGGCGGGGUAAAGGCCCACCAAGGCGACGAUCCGUAGCUGGGUCUGAGAGGAUGAUCAGCCACACUGGAACUGAGACACGGUCCAGACUCCUACGGGAGGCAGCAGUAGGGAAUAUUGGACAAUGGGCGCAAGCCUGAUCCAGCCAUGCCGCGUGAGUGAAGAAGGCCCUCGGGUUGUAAAGCUCUUUGUCG